rnacentral:lncRNA from 1 species
UUAACUUACAAAUUAAUAAAUUUUAUUUAAAUUUAUAAAUUAUUUAAAUGUUGUAGCAAAUAUAUUAUUGGGCGUACGAGGUUAAUAACGAAGUGCGAGAAAUAUUUGAUGAGAUUUUUGCUAAACGUAUUAAAGACAACACUUAUGAGUGGAAAAAAGUGGCGAAAAGGGAAAGACAAACCAAAAUUUAUGCGAAUAGCAGUUUGGAAUGGGUUGAUCGAGUAUUGGGAAAAAGAAAAAAAAAAUAAAGAGCGUGGCGUAACCAACUCUAACAACCGAAAGAGCGACCGCGGAGGUUAUGGUAUGGCAAAACACACUUGCGGAGCUGUACCAUA